rnacentral:rRNA from 1 species
GAAACGACUGCUAAUACCGCAUAAGCCCACGACCCGGCAUCGGGUUGAGGGAAAAGGAGCAAUCCGCUUUGAGAUGGCCUCGCGUCCGAUUAGCUAGUUGGUGAGGUAACGGCCCACCAAGGCGACGAUCGGUAGCCGGACUGAGAGGUUGAACGGCCACAUUGGGACUGAGACACGGCCCAGACUCCUACGGGAGGCAGCAGUGGGGAAUAUUGCACAAUGGGGGAAACCCUGAUGCAGCGACGCCGCGUGGAGGAAGAAGGUCUUCGGAUUGUAAACUCCUGUUGUUGAGGAAGAUAAUGACGGUACUCAACAAGGAAGUGACGGCUAACUACGUGCCAGCAGCCGCGGUAAAACGUAGGUCACAAGCGUUGUCCGGAAUUACUGGGUGUAAAGGGAGCGCAGGCGGGAAGACAAGUUGGAAGUGAAAUCCAUGGGCUCAACCCAUGAACUGCUUUCAAAACUGUUUUUCUUGAGUAGUGCAGAGGUAGGCGGAAUUCCCGGUGUAGCGGUGGAAUGCGUAGAUAUCGGGAGGAACACCAGUGGCGAAGGCGGCCUACUGGGCACCAACUGACGCUGAGGCUCGAAAGUGUGGGUAGCAAACAGGAUUAGAUACCCUGGUAGUCCACACCGUAAACGAUGAAUACUAGGUGUUGGAGGAUUGACCCCUUCAGUGCC